rnacentral:tRNA from 1 species
GAGGGUAGAGCUCAGUGGUAGAGCACAUGCUUAUCAAGCAAGGUCCUGUGUUCAAUCCCCAGUACCUCCA